GACGAACGCUGGCGGCGUGCUUAACACAUGCAAGUCGAACGGAAAUUCCCUGCUUUUGUGGGGUGCUCGAGUGGCGAACGGGUGAGUAACACGAGAGUAACCUGCCCUUGACUUUGGGAUAACUUCAGGAAACGGGUGCUAAUACGGGAUAGGAGCUCCUGCUGCAUGGUGGGGGUUGGAAAGUUUCGGCGGUUGGGGAUGGACUCGUGGCUUAUCAGCUUGUUGGUGGGGUAGUGGCUUACCAAGGCUUUGACGGGUAGCCGGCCUGAGAGGGUGACCGGCCACAUUGGGACUGAGAUACGGCCCAGACUCCUACGGGAGGCAGCAGUGGGGAGUAUUGCACAAUGGGCGGAAGCCUGAUGCAGCAACGCCGCGUGCGGGAUGACGGCCUUCGGGUUGUAAACCGCUUUCGCCUGUGACGAAGCGUGAGUGACGGUAAUGGGUAAAGAAGCACCGGCUAACUACGUG
rnacentral:rRNA from 1 species